rnacentral:sRNA from 1 species
AGCAGCCGCGGUAAUUCCAGCUCCAAUAGCGUAUAUUAAAGUUGUUGCAGUUAAAAAGCUCGUAGUUGAAUUUCGGGGUUAGUAGGUUGGUCAUGCCUCUGGUAUGUACUGGUCUCACUGAUUCCUCCUUCCUGAUGAACCGUAAUGCCAUUAAUUUGGUGUUGCGGGGAUCAGGACUGUUACUUUGAAAAAUUAGAGUGUUUAAAGCAGGCAAGCGCUUGAAUACAUUAGCAUGGAAUAAUGAAGUAGGACGUUCGAUCCUAUUUUGUUGGUUUCUAGGAUUGACGUAAUGAUUAAUAGGGAUAGUUGGGGGCAUUAGUAUUCAAUUGUCAGAGGUGAAAUUCUUGGAUUUAUUGAAGACUAACUACUGCGAAAGCAUUUGCCAAGGAUGUUUUCAUCAAUCAAGAACGAAAGUUAGGGGAUCGAAGACGAUCAGAUACCGUCGUAGUCUUAACC